ensembl:lncRNA FER1L6-AS2 FER1L6 antisense RNA 2
GCUUCCUGUUAAGCCUGUGGAACUCUAGUGGACAUCUGAAACCCUAAAACAUCUCAUCUGUGCAAAAAAGAGGAAUGAGCCAGGUCGGGAGAGUGAGAAGCUCGCACCACUUCGAAAGCGUCUGCCUGGAUGCUGAAGUUCGGGUUGUUCUUGUAGCUCUGGAUCACGCAGGACUUCACACCUUGUCCUCCGCACUCAAUGAGAGCCUGAGGCCGAUCCACAGAGAGGAGCUGCACCUUCUUCAUUUCCCGAACUCCCCAGAAGAGAACCUGAGGAAAAGACCAGCAGAGCCAUCACCACAGAUCCACGGAGGAGCCCCACACCUGCCCUGGCUCUGUGUGGAAAAGUUAGACCUGCUCCCUGAGAACCACGCUGUGUUCCUCCAGGAAAGAACUGCACAGCUUUUUGAGGGCUCAUUCUUUUUCUCUAGGUCUCCCGCCCAUUCCAUAUCACCUCUCCUACAAUUCAGGUGGGGCCACUGCCCUUGAGUGCCAAAGAACAACUCAGCUCCUCCGCUGACCCGUACCUCCACUCGGUAUUUGCUCAGCACCGGCCGAAUGUUGGCAGGAACCGGGUAGAUCUGGGUGAUGUCUGGUGGCUCAACGGGUGGGAGGCCUUGCAGCCCAGAAGGAGGAACCUACCGCACAAGGCAAGUAUGAGUUAGAUGCUGGAGAGACACAGGGAAGGCAACAGUGCCACACAACCACCUCAUCAGUAAGAUGUUCACUGUUUUGCCAACAAAAGUAAUGUUUCCAGCUUAAAAUACAAGGACCAUGCAUUUUACCAUAUUUAAUUAUUUAUUAAUUGAUAAAUGCAGUCAUUUACAAGGGUAACCAACAUUUAGCGAGCACUUAAGAUGUACCACAAGGCUAAUAACACAGAGCUCACAGUAUAGAGGGGAGAGAGAAAAACAAAUACGGAAGAUGGUCUUUACAACUUAAUAAAAUUACACAAGAACCACAGCAGGGUAGUGGAGAAGGAGCUUCUAUCAGUUUCCAAACAUUUGAGUCUUAAUGAUCCCCACUCCCUUCGGACUUGUCAAGAUCUCCAGAAAAGCCAUUAUGCACUACUACUGCUACUAAUACUAAUACUACUACUACAAUAAAAGGAUGUACAUUUAAUCCAACAGAGACUGCAUCCUAAUCAGUGAAGCAGAAAAUGAAAUGUUUUGAAGGCAGAUGAAAACUUGUCUCUUCUUGUGCACUUGGGGUUAAUGAAACUUCAGGACAAUUUCAGCUUUGCUGAAAUUUCACACAAAGGACUUACAGAGUUCUACUGAGAAAAGGGUCUUUUUCACUGUGUAGGCCAUCCCACACUGCCCUCAAAACCUGGUUCGACACAUACAUCUUUCAAGAAGGUUUCCCCAAAGAAAACAAAAAAUAAAAGAAGCUUUUUCUGACCCUGUCCCAGCUGCUUCUACCAUUCAAUGCCUUUUGAAUGCAACAUGUCCUUUAUGCAGAUUUUGUGCAGAAAUAGAGGACUGAGUCCAGAAAUAAGGCUCUGCUGUGUGACCCUGCACAAGUAAAUUUCCAUCUCUGAGCCUCAGAUAUUGGGCCAGAUGACCCAUCAAGCUCCUUGGGAAUCAUAUGUUCUAUUAAACAUUGCUUUGGAGCAGGUGGUUCUCCUUACUGGGGCUGUUUGUCUGCCUGAACAAUUUACAGGGACUUGGCCAAUAGGAAGUCUUUAUUUACUUCAUUCUCCAAGCCCCUCCAUGUACAGUGAGUUCUUGAUAGAUGUUUACCGGUUGACUGACAUAUUAGUCCACAUGCUCCGUGUGCUAGAAAAAGCCUAACUGUGCAUCAAAAUCUGCAAAAUGCAAAUAUAUCACCAUUCUGUUUUCACAGACAUAUUCUCGUUGGCAACAGCAGAUGUGGUUAAGCUAAUUACAAGAAAGCUCAGAAAAAGGAGAGCAGACACUGCAAAUGCGCAAUAGGCUUAAGGUAAUGAAGCUGCAGGAUACACCAGCCCAGAUCAAGAAGCUGGUAAAUAAUGAGGAUGGCAAUGCCCAAUACUGCCUGGCAGUGAUGAGGUGAGCAAUUUAGCCUGCGAGCAUCACCUCACUGGGAAAGUUAAUAGCCCCCCAGGCUUUAAAGGGAAAGCCACGAAACAGCUGUGAUGGUGGCAUAGGAGGGGCUGCCUCUAGAUGUGCUUUUUAAAAAGCAUCAUAUGUUUUAUCCUGGGGCUCCUGAAGUGUCUUGGGAAAUGGCCAAAGAAGUUUUGCUUUGUAAGUGCCUGAAAAAUGCUGUUAAGAGCUCAACACAGCCCUUAAAGAAUCCUAUA